CUACCCUCAGGCCUUGCCGCUCAGGCGGCGUAGGUACUGGUGUUGGGACUUACAGCGCUGGUCUUCGGCGCUGUAGUCCCCUAAUUUCAUCGGCGUACGCGUGUACGUUGCCCCCUGCGUAGUGGAUUUUAUUUUCUCGCAUCGGGCCGUGCCGCAGUGCCGCCGCAAACUGACACUCAACGA
rnacentral:misc_RNA from 1 species